CAGGAGCAAUGUGUAAUCUCCAACAAGGCAAAAUUCUCUUUACUUCAUCAAACAUUUUUUCUAAGAUAUCUGUGUCUGAAUCAGCAAAUAAUGAAGCUUGCCUGGCAUCUUUUCCUAUUAUUGACAUUGACAACACUGUGGGAUGCAUUGAAUAAUAUGAACCAAGCAAUGGGAUACUUGGCCUGUAUUUACUGUAGUGGCCUUUUCUCAAAGUUGUCACCCAGUAUAUAGACUCGUGUAGUAUUCAUAAACUGUGAAUAUGCUGCCUCCAGAGCCUGAAUUUCAUCUUUCUAGCAGAAGUGAUACUGGGAAUUGAAAUUAGGGUCUUCUGCAUUCUGUGCAAAUGCUCUACCACUGAACUACAUCCCAACACCAAACCUGAUUUCUUGAAAGGUAAUUCUCUGUGGCAGAGGGAGGUUUUGAUGGAUUGAAAAUUGGAGAUUUCUGUAGAAUCUUGAUGGUGCAUUUCUAAGAAUAGAUUUUUCAAGGUUAGCAAACAACGAACUAGGUGAUGCCUACUUAAAUUGGAAUUGCAUAUAGACAGUUACUAGUCUUUCAGAAUGUCUGUUCCAUUUAUAUGAUAUAUAUGAUAUAUAUAUCUAUUAAUUAUGCUAUUCUCCUUCUCUUUCCUCUAUUCAGUCCCUUUCACACACACACCUCUGUUGCAUUCUCUCAAAAUAAUUGUUUCUGUUUUAAAAAAUAUUGUCACACACACACACACACACACACACACACACUUCUAAAUAUAUAAUGCAGCCUAUCCAAUCUAUAUAAUUUAUUUUUAGAUAUGUUUUCAGGGAUGACCAUUUGGUAUUUGAUAACCAGUUGGUGUGUUUUGCUCUGGGGAAGACUAUUUCUCAUCAUUCAUUAGUUGCCUGGAGUUCUUUGUCUAGGGCUGAGGCCUCAUCAGCUUUUCUCUUCCACCUUAGCAUGUAUAUUGGUGUCAUUCUUGUUCAAGUGUUAUUUAGGCAGCUUCUCUAACAUUUCUAGGAGACACAAUCUCACACAAAAUUUCCUGUGCUCUGGCUCUCACAAUAUUUCUAGCCCCUCUUUUACAAUGAUUUUUGAGCCUUAGGUGUAGGAAUUGUGUUGCAGAUGUAUCAGUUGGGACUAGGCUCCACAAUUCUGUAGUUUGAUUGGUUGUAGUUUUCUGUAAUGGUCUCUAUUUGUUGAAAAGAGAAGUUUCCUUGUUGAGGGGUGAAGACUACACUCAUCUUUGUUUAAAAGGAUAAAUUUUUAGAAUGUAGUUAAGGGACUAUGUUGGUUUAGUAAAGUGGUUGUAGGUUCUCCUCCAAGAUCCAUGAC